rnacentral:rRNA from 1 species
GAUGAACGCUAGCGGCAGGCUUAACACAUGCAAGUCGAGGGGCAGCAUAAAUAGUAGCAAUACUAUUGGUGGCGACCGGCGGACGGGUGCGUAACGCGUAUACAACCUUCCCUAAACAGGGGGAUAAUCUGGAGAAAUUCGGUCUAAUACCCCAUAACAUCAGAGCAGGCAUCUGUUUUGGUUAAAAUUUCCGGAGGUUUAGGAUGGGUAUGCGUAGCAUUAGCUAGUUGGUGAGGUAACGGCUCACCAAGGCGACGAUGCUUAGGGGGACUGAGAGGUUACCCCCCCACACUGGUACUGAGACACGGACCAGACUCCUACGGGAGGCAGCAGUGAGGAAUAUUGGUCAAUGGGCGGAAGCCUGAACCAGCCAUGCCGCGUGCAGGAUGACGGCUCUAUGAGUUGUAAACUGCUUUUGUACGAGGGUAAAGUGGGUUACGUGUAGCCUUUUGAAAGUAUCGUACGAAUAAGGAUCGGCUAACUCCGUGCCAGCCGCCGCGGUAA